GAAGGCCCUGCAAAGCAGCAUCGCGGUGGCGGAGCGUCGUUUGCGACGCCCAACACACAAAACAAGCGGUGAGUGCUUUGGGGUGGGGUGACUGCGUACCUUUUGUAUAAUGGGUCAGCGACUUAUAUUCUGUAGCAAGGUUAACCGUAUAGGGGAGCCGAAGGGAAACCGAGUCUUAACUGGGCGUUAAGUUGCAGGGUAUAGACCCGAAACCCGGUGAUCUAGCCAUGGGCAGGUUGAAGGUUGGGUAACACUAACUGGAGGACCGAACCGACUAAUGUUGAAAAAUUAGCGGAUGACUUGUGGCUGGGGGUGAAAGGCCAAUCAAACCGGGAGAUAGCUGGUUCUCCCCGAAAGCUAUUUAGGUAGCGCCUCGUGAACUCAUCUUCGGGGGUAGAGCACUGUUUCGGCUAGGGGGUCAUCCCGACUUACCAACCCGAUGCAAACUGCGAAUACCGAAGAAUGUUAUCACGGGAGACACACGGCGGGUGCUAACGUCCGUCGUGAAGAGGGAAACAACCCAGACCGCCAGCUAAGGUCCCAAAGUCACAGUUAAGUGGGAAACGAUGUGGGAAGGCUCAGACAGCCAGGAUGUUGGCUUAGAAGCAGCCAUCAUUUAAAGAAAGCGUAAUAGCUCACUGGUCGAGUCGGCCUGCGCGGAAGAUGUAACGGGGCUAAACUGUGCACCGAAGCUGCGGCAGCGACGCUUAUGCGUUGUUGGGUAGGGGAGCGUUCUGUAAGCCUGCGAAGGUGUCCUGUGAGGGAUGCUGGAGGUAUCAGAAGUGCGAAUGCUGACAUAAGUAACGAUAAUGCGGGUGAAAAGCCCGCUCGCCGGAAGACCAAGGGUUCCUGUCCAACGUUAAUCGGGGCAGGGUGAGUCGACCCCUAAGGCGAGGCCGAAAGGCGUAGUCGAUGGGAAACGGGUUAAUAUUCCCGUACUUGGUGUUACUGCGAAGGGGGGACGGAGAAGGCUAUGUUGGCCGGGCGACGGUUGUCCCGGUUUAAGCGUGUAGGCUGGUUUUCCAGGCAAAUCCGGAAAAUCAAGGCUG
rnacentral:rRNA from 1 species